rnacentral:rRNA from 1 species
AGAACGAACGCUGGCGGCAGGCCUCAAACAUGCAAGUCUAGGGGGGUGUAGCAAUACAUCACCGGCGGACGGGUGCGUAACACGUGGGAAUAUACCUUUUGGUUCGGAACAACGCAGGGAAACUUGCGCUAAUACCGAAUGUGCCCUUACGGGGAAAGAUUUAUCGCCAAAGGAUUAGCCCGCGUAGGAUUAGCUAGUUGGUGAGGUAAUGGCUCACCAAGGCUCCGAUCCUUAGCUGUUCUGAGAGGAAGAUCAGCCACACUGGGACUGAGACACGGCCCAGACUCCUACGGGAGGCAGCAGUUGGGAAUCUUGGACAAUGGGGGAAACCCUGAUCCAGCCAUGCCGCGUGAGUGAUGAAGGCCUUCGGGUUGUAAACUCUUUCGACGGGGACGAUAAUGACGGUACCCGUAGAAGAAGCUCCGGCUAACUUCGUGCCAGCAGCCGC